rnacentral:rRNA from 1 species
UUGGACCUGAUAUCAGGUAACA